GACGAACGCUGGCGGCGUGCUUAACACAUGCAAGUCGAACGGAAAGGCCCUGCUUUUGUGGGGUGCUCGAGUGGCGAACGGGUGAGUAACACGUGAGUAACCUGCCCUGACUUUGGGAUAACUUCAGGAAACUGGGGCUAAUACCGGAUAGGAGCUCCUGCUGCAUGGUGGGGGUUGGAAAGUUUCGGCGGUUGGGGAUGGACUCGCAGCUUAUCAGCUUGUUGGUAGGGUAGUGGCUUACCAAGGCUUUGACGGGUAGCCGGCCUGAGAGGGUGACCGGCCACAUUGGGACUGAGAUACGGCCCAGACUCCUACGGGAGGCAGCAGUGGGGAAUAUUGCACAAUGGGCGGAAGCCUGAUGCAGCAACGCCGCGUGCGGGAUGACGGCCUUCGGGUUGUAAACCGCUUUCGCCUGUGACGAAGCGUGAGUGACGGUAAUGGGUAAAGAAGCACCGGCUAACUACGUG
rnacentral:rRNA from 1 species